UUCCGGUUGAUCCUGCCGGACCUGACUGCUAUCGGAUUGAUACUAAGCCAUGCGAGUCAUUGUAGCAAUACAAGGCAUACGGCUCAGUAACGCGUAGUCAACCUAACCUAUGGACGGGAAUAACCUCGGGAAACUGAGAAUAAUGCCCGAUAGAACACUAUACCUGGAAUGGUUUGUGUUCCAAAUGAUUUAUCGCCGUAGGAUGGGACUGCGGCCUAUCAGUUUGUUGGUGAGGUAAUGGCCCACCAAGACUAUUACAGGUACGGGCUCUGAGAGGAGUAGCCCGGAGAUGGGUACUGAGACACGGACCCAGGCCCUAUGGGGCGCAGCAGGCGAGAAAACUUUGCAAUGUGCGAAAGCACGACAAGGUUAAUCCGAGUGGUUUCUGCUAAAGGAACCUUUUGUUAGUUCUAGAAAUACUAACGAAUAAGGGGUGGGCAAGUUCUGGUGUCAGCCGCCGCGGUAAAACCAGCACCUCAAGUGGUCAGGAUGAUUAUUGGGCCUAAAGCAUCCGUAGCCUGUUCUGUAAGUUUCCGGUUAAAUCCAUUAGCUCAACUAAUGGGCCGCCGAAAAUACUGCAGAACUAGGGAGUGGGAGAGGUAGACGGUACUCGGUAGGAAGGGGUAAAAUCCUUUGAUCUAUUGAUGACCACCUGUGGCGAAGGCGGUCUACCAGAACACGUUCGACGGUGAGGGAUGAAAGCUGGGGGAGCAAACCGGAUUAGAUACCCGGGUAGUCCCAGCUGUAAACGAUGCAGACUCGGUGAUGCGCUGGCUUGUGGCCAGUGCAGUGCCGCAGGGAAGCCGUUAAGUUUGCCGCCUGGGAAGUACGUACGCAAGUAUGAAACUUAAAGGAAUUGGCGGGGGAGCACCACAAGGGGUGAAGCCUGCGGUUCAAUUGGAGUCAACGCCGGG
rnacentral:rRNA from 1 species